ACGAACGCUGGCGGCAGGCUUAACACAUGCAAGUCGCAGGAGAAGGAGGCUUCGGCUUCCGGACACUGGCGGACGGGUGAGUAACGCGUGGGGACCUACCCUGGGGUGGGGGACAACCGCUGGAAACGGCGGCUAAUACCGCAUACGCCCUUUGUUUAGGCAUUGGGGAAAACUCCGGUGCCCUGGGAUGGCCCCGCGUCGGAUUAGCUUGUUGGUGGGGUAACGGCCUACCAAGGCGACGAUCCGUAGCUGGUCUGAGAGGCUGACCAGCCACACUGGAACUGAGACACGGUCCAGACGCCUACGGGAGGCAGCAGUGGGGAAUAUUGGACAAUGGGCGAAAGCCUGAUCCAGCAAUGCCGCGUGAGUGAUGAAGGCCUUAGGGUUGUAAAGCUCUUUUACCCGGGAAGAUAAUGACUGUACCGGGAGAAUAAGCCCCGGCUAACUCCGU
rnacentral:rRNA from 1 species